rnacentral:snRNA from 1 species
AGCUUUGCGCAGUGGCAGUAUCGUAGCCAAUGAGGUUUAUCCGAGGCGCGAUUAUUGCUAAUUGUAUUAGGGGAGAAACGAAAACAAAUAG